rnacentral:ncRNA from 1 species
GUCGUGUCGCGGUCCGGGACUGUCCUCUGUCCCGGGUCGUCUCGGCGCGGUUCCGAGCGGUCGCUCCCUCGCGAGGUGCCGCGGGUCAGCGGCUGACGCCAGCCACCUUCCCGACCCGUCUUGAAACACGGACCAAGGAGUCUAACAUGUGCGCGAGCCGCGGGGCAGUACGAAACCCGUAAGGCGAAAUGAAGGUGAACGCCGGCGCGGUCCGGCGGAGGUUGGAUCCCGUCCCGUCGGGGCGGGCGCACUACCGGCCGAUCUUCUCCGCCCUGUCGGCGAGGUCGAGCGAGAGCGUGCAAGUCGGGACCCGAAAGAUGGUGAACUAUGCCUGAGGAGGUUGAAGCCAGAGGAAACUCUGGUGGAGGACCGUAGCGAUUCUGACGUGCAAAUCGAUCGUCAAAUUUGGGUAUAGGGGCGAAAGACUAAUCGAACCGUCUAGUAGCUGGUUCCCUUCGAAGUUUCCCUCAGGAUAGCUGGCGCUCUGUCGCAGUUUUAUCUGGUAAAGCGAAUGAUUAGAGGUCUUGGGGGCGUAACGCCCUCAACCUAUUCUCAAACUUUAAAUUGGUAAGAAGCCCGACUCGCUCGUUUGGAGCCGGGCAUGGAAUGCGAGUGCCAAGUGGGCCACUCUUGGUAAGCAGGACUGGCGAUGCGGGAUGAACCGAA